rnacentral:rRNA from 1 species
UACGUAGGGUCCGAGCGUUGUCCGGAAUUAUUGGGCGUAAAGGGCUCGUAGGCGGUUCGUCACGUCGGGAGUGAAAACUCGGGGCUUAACCCCGAGCCUGCUUCCGAUACGGGCAGACUAGAGGUAGGCAGGGGAGAGCGGAACUCCUGGUGUAGCGGUGGAAUGCGCAGAUAUCCGGAGGAACACCGACGGCGUAGGCAGCGCCCUGGACGACACCUGACGCUGAGGCACGAAAGCUGGGGGAGCGAACAGG